GUGGGCCACAAGAAAAUUUUGGUGGGCCGCAAAGGAAUGUCCCCCCAAAACACCCCCCCAAAGAAAUUAAUCCAGGUUGCAUGGGAACAUAAG